rnacentral:rRNA from 1 species
AGAGAGAGACAUGCGCGCAUAUCAAUAAGCGGAGGAAAAGAAACUAACAAGGAUUCCCUUAGUAACGGCGAGUGAAGCGGGAAGAGCUCAAAUUUGAAAUCUUCAAGGUUUUACCUUGACGAAUUGUAGUUUAAAGAAGUGUUUUUUGCUGAGUUCUGGUAAAAGUUCUUUGGAAUAGGACAUCAUAGAGGGUGAGAAUCCCGUAUUUGACCAUUAUUUUCAGCUUUGUGAUACACUUUCAAAGAGUCGGAUUGUUUGGGAAUGCAGUCCAAAAUGGGUGGUAAAUUUCAUCUAAAGCUAAAUAUUGGCGAGAGACCGAUAGCGAACAAGUACCGUGAGGGAAAGAUGAAAAGAACUUUGAAAAGAGAGUUAAACAGUACGUGAAAUUGUCAAAAGGGAAGCGUUUGACACCAGUGUUGUUUUCUCGAAAAUCAAUUAAAAAUGGCUCGAUUUUGUAUUGCUGAGACCUUAAAAGCUCACUGUACAUUUUUCGUGUCCUUUUUAAUGCACUUUUCGUUUAACAAGUCAACAUCAGUUUCUUUUGUUGUAAAAGGGUCAUUGGAAGGUGGCUUUCUUUUCGGAGAAAGUGUUUAUAGCCUUUGGCCUCUGCAAUCGAAGAGACUGAGGUCUGCAGCGUAGACUCUUCGGGGUUAGAUACAUUUGUGCUAAGUUAUAGCUUUUUAUAGACAACUUGUUGACUAUAAUUAGUCUUGUAGCUUACUCGCUUAUGCUAUUUUACCUACGCUUAGGAUGUUGAAGUCAUCGUAUCGCG